rnacentral:tRNA from 1 species
UAACGCUUUUAGAAACCAGGUUAAUAAAAAUAAGAAGAUAUAUACUAAAUGACCUCUAAACUAAUU